CUAGCACUUUCACAUGUCCUACCCACACAAUAGGGCCAGGAUUUGGUGUCUGGUCCUGAAAGAAAACCCUUGAUUGAAUCCUUGGUCUGGAACUGUACCAGCAGCAGCUAUCUCUCAAUGGCACAAAG